AUGUCUGGCUGUUGUGUUGACAUGAAACUGCAAACUGAUGUGGAAUUCCCACAGAGCAUGGAAGGCACUAAUGACCAGGGGAAACAAACUGUGUGUUGGUCAGGAGUAUUGAUAGACUGUCUGAGCUUGGUGCCGACCUGACUAGAGAUUUGGGAGAGAACGGGGAGUACGUCUCAAGGACAAGGUCACUAUCUCUGUCGGCUGGGUAGUGAGACAGUGUGUGUAACGGCUGUCGUAAGUGGAAGAAGGUGAGGACCAAGGUGCAGCGUGGCCCACCCCUCUCCUCCGUCUCAUCAACGGCCAACUAGCGUACACGGUGAGGCGCCUCAUGAAGGUUCGACCGCAGGGCAGGGGAUUCCAGUACAUGGUUGAC